rnacentral:rRNA from 1 species
AAAAUUAUUAUUAUUAUUAUUAUUUAUUUAUUUAAUUAUUUAAAAAAAAUAAUUUUUAUUUUAUUAUUUUUGUAAGAAAAAAUUUAAUUUAAUUAUAGUAAAUUUGUAUUGAAAAAGAUUUAUUUAUUUUGAUUUUAAGAAUAAUUAAUUUUUAGUACCUUGUGUAUCAGGGUUUAUUAAAUAAAUUUUAGUUAUUUUAAAUUUCUCGAAUUUAAAAGAUCUAUAUAGUUAUAAUUUUUAUUGUUGAAUAAAUAUUAAGAAUAGUUAUAUAGAAAUAAAAUGUUUUUCGAUUUUAAAUAUAUCUAGUUUUUAAAGAAAAAAUUCAAUUUUAGUUUUAAUUUUUAUUUAUUUAAAUUUUUAAGUAAAUAUAGUUAAUAUUUUAUAUUUAAUGGGAUGAGCUUUUAAAUGUAUUAAUAUAAAUAUAUUUAAAUUUUAACUAUUAAGUAGAAUUAUAAGUUUUUAUCUUUUUUAGUGUUUUAUUACUAUAUAGUUUAGUAAUUUUAUUUAUAUAAAUAUUUUAUUUAGUUUAUUUAAAUAUAAAUUUUAAUUAAAAAAAUUUAGAAAUAAUGAUAAAAUUAGUAAAAUUUAAUUUUAUAAUUUUAUAAAGUUAAAAGGUUUUAUAAAGGAAUUCGGCAAAUAUUUUUUUCACCUGUUUAUUAAAAACAUGUCCUUUUGAUCAUAAUUUAAGGUCUGACCUGCCCAAUGAAUUUUAAAUGGCCGCAGUAUCUUGACUGUGCAAAGGUAGCAUAAUCAAUAGUUUUUUAAUUGAAAGCUGGAAUGAAAGGUUUGAUGAGAAAAAAACUGUCUCUAUAAAAAUUUAUUUGAAUUUUAUUUUUAAGUAAAAAAGCUUAGAUAUUAAUAGAAGACGAGAAGACCCUAUAGAUUUUUAUAUUUAUGUUUAAUUAAAAUUUUAGAAUUUUCAUUUUUUAAUUUUAUUAUAGUAUUUAAUUGGGGUGAUUGGAAAAUUAAUUUAACUUUUCUUUAUAAUUACAUUUAUUUAUGAUUAAAUGAUCCUUAUUUUAAGAUUAUAAGAUAAAAUUACCUUAGGGAUAACAGCGUAAUUUUUUUAAAGAGUUCUUAUCGAAAAAAAAGAUUGCGACCUCGAUGUUGGAUUAAAAUUUAUUUAUGGUGUAGAAGCUAUAUAAUUAGGUCUGUUCGACCUUUAAAAUUUUACAUGAUCUGAGUUUAAACCGGUGUGAGCC